rnacentral:rRNA from 1 species
CCUACGGGUGGCUGCAGUGAGGAAUAUUGGUCAAUGGGCGCGAGCCUGAACCAGCCAAGUAGCGUGAAGGAUGACUGCCCUACGGGUUGUAAACUUCUUUUAUAAAGGAAUAAAGUGUUGCACGUGUGCCUUUUUGUAUGUACUUUAUGAAUAAGGAUCGGCUAACUCCGUGCCAGCAGCCGCGGUAAUACGGAGGAUCCGAGCGUUAUCCGGAUUUAUUGGGUUUAACGGGAACGCAGAUGGGGUGUUAAGUUAGUUGUGAAAGUUUGCGGCUUAACCGUAAAAUUGCAAUUGAUACUGGCAGUCUUGAGUACAGUUGAGGGAGGCGGAAUUCGUGGUGUAGCGGUGAAAUGCUUAGAGAUCACGAAGAACUCCGAUGGCGAAGGCAGCUUCCUAAGAUGCCACUGACAUUGAUGUGCGAAAGUGUGGGUAUCAAACAGGAUUAGAUACCCCAGUAGUC